rnacentral:lncRNA from 1 species
GAUGUGUUCUAAUGCUGAAAAUAUUUAUUAGUUACCACCGCUAACCAUCUCGGGUUAGCGGUGGUCGUUGGAGGUGGACUUGGAGGAGGACGAGGAAGACGGGGAGAACAAGGUGGACGAGGAGGACAAGGAUUUGUGCUCGUAUUCGAGGUAUAACCCGAGAUGGUUAGCGGUGGUCGUUCAAGGUGGCUGGGGGUUGUUUCGGGUGAUCGAGUUGGACGAGGAGGAGAACGAGGAAGACGAGGCGAACAAGGUAGAUGAGGAUGAAGAGGAUUUGUGCACCGUACAACCCGAGGUGGUUAUCGGUGGUUGUUCGAGGUGGUUGGCGAUUGUUGGAG